rnacentral:tRNA from 1 species
GGGCAUUUGGUCGAGUGGUAUGAUUCUCGCUUUGGAGGCAAGAGGUCUCGAGUUGGAUUUUCAAUAUGCCCCC